UCCCUGGUAGUCCAGUGGUCAGGACUCAGCAUUUUCUUUGCCAAGAGCCUAGGUUCAAUCCCUGGUAAGGGAA
rnacentral:tRNA from 1 species